GUUUAUGAUGAUUACCACUUAUUAUCACGACGGUCAACUGCGUUCUUCGAUUGUUUAUCUUAGAACUUUGAUGAUAUUCUGCCUGUGACAGGGCGUGGAACUGAUU
rnacentral:ncRNA from 11 species